AUUGAACGCUGGCGGAAUGCUUUACACAUGCAAGUCGAACGGCAGCACGGACCUCGGUCUGGUGGCGAGUGGCGAACGGGUGAGUAAUGUAUCGGAACGUGCCCAGUCGUGGGGGAUAACGUAGUGAAAAUUACGCUAAUACCGCAUACGAUCUAUGGAUGAGAGCGGGGGAUCGCAAGACCUCGCGCGAUUGGAGCGGCCGAUAUCAGAUUAGGUAGUUGGUGGGGUAAAGGCCCACCAAGCCAACGAUCUGUAGCUGGUCUGAGAGGACGACCAGCCACACUGGAACUGAGACACGGUCCAGACGCCUACGGGAGGCAGCAGUGGGGAAUUUUGGACAAUGGGCGAAAGCCUGAUCCAGCCAUUCCGCGUGCAGGAUGAAGGCCCUCGGGUUGUAAACUGCUUUUGUACAGAACGAAAAGGUUUCUACUAAUACUAGGAGCUCAUGACGGUACUGUAAGAAUAAGCACCGGCUAACUACGUGCCAGCCGCCGCAGUAA
rnacentral:rRNA from 1 species